rnacentral:sRNA from 1 species
AGAAAGCGGCGCUGGGACCCUGAGGCGGCGGUGGUUAGGCGGCUCCCCGGCGGCUCCUCCGCGGCGGUGACGGCGACCGCACUCCCCGCUUCCCGCUCCCCGCGCUCCUCCGCCCGGGCCCGCCAGCCGAGGCCGCUCCCGAGCGUCGGAAGAUGCCGGCCGUGUCCAAGGGGGACGGGAUGCGGGGCCUGGCGGUCUUCAUCUCGGAUAUCCGCAACUAAUUCCCACAUUUCAUGGGUGUGAGCUGAAAAAAGACUUGAAGCUAACAUUCCUCUGCUGUCCCACUACAACACAGAAGACUUCUGUGACCCCAGAAUAUGUGGGGGUUUCUCCCCAUCGGCAAACAAGCUAUCAGUUCUGCAGCAGGCACCAGCGGGGUGUCCUCCAGCUUGAUUCUGACACCGUCUACCUGGAGGUAAAAGUAAAGAAGCAGAAAUAAAAAGGAUAAACAAGGAACUGGCAAAUAUCAGAUCAAAAUUUAAAGGUGACAAGGCUCUUGAUGGCUAUAGUAAAAAAAAGUACGUCUGCAAGUUGCUCUUCAUCUUUCUC